rnacentral:lncRNA from 1 species
CAUGGUUAUUCAGGACCUCCACAUUGGAUAAAUUCAAUUUCUUCUUGAGACACAAGUUUGCUUCUGUAUUUCUGAGGUAAUGUUUUUAUUAUUUCUGCAGUGUCUGGUGGACCCUGAUACAUUAGCAAAUCUGGUGAUGUAUCCCUUAGAAUGUUGUGAAAUUACAGAAGAGUGAGAUGGUAGCCCUGCUGAUCUCAAAGCUUCUGAUACAUUGGGUUUAGGAUUGUCUCUUCUGUCAGGAAACCUUAUUAAUGGAGUGUGUGGUUUGACUACCUGAACGACCCUACUGGCA